UUUUGAUGUAAAAUUAUAGACUUGAGUAGUAAUAGAUAUGAUCUAAAAACUUAAAGAAUUUGGCGGUAUUUUAGUCUAUUUAGAGGAAUCUGUCCCUUAAUUGAUAAUCCACAUUGAACCUUACUUAAUUUUGUAAUAUGUAUACCGCCGUUUACUGAAAAUGUUUGUAGAUAAAAUUUUCUUGAUCUUUAAUUUGAUAAUAUUUCAGGUCAAGGUGCAGUUUAUAAUUAAGUGGAGAUGGAUUACAAUAUUUUUAGAUAAUUAUGGAUUAUUAAUUGGAAUAUUAAUAUGAAGGUGGAUUUAAUAGUAAAGUUGUAAAGAUUAAGAAUUUGAUUGAAGCUCUAAAAUAUGU
rnacentral:rRNA from 1 species